GAAACAACAAUGCUUCCCCCAUAGUUCUUCUGUUUAACUGCAGAUUGGGAAUGAGCUAAAGUACAAGUAGGCUCAAGGGCCUCUUAGAUCUAUCAUUCCGAGCAGGAAAUUUGGUGAAACAUACACAAGGACUUCCCAAGAAUCCAGCAUCAACAUUACAUCUCUAGACUGAGACCAAACCGUUGCCACCCCAUUACUCACACACAUGCACUCACUACCAAGCCUCAGGCAUGAAGGAUUGAACUUUGGGAAAAUGCAACACCC
rnacentral:lncRNA from 1 species